GGUUGGUCCGAGUGCAGUGGUGUUUACAACUAAUUGAUCACGACCAGUUACAGAUUCCUUUGUUCCUUCUCCACUCCCACUGCUCCACUUAACCAGCCUUUA
rnacentral:Y_RNA from 1 species